rnacentral:rRNA from 1 species
UGAGGAAUAUUGCACAAUGGGCGAAAGCCUGAUGCAGCGACGCCGCGUGGGUGAAGAAGGUUUUCGGAUCGUAAAACCCUUUUCUGUGUGACGAGAACGGACGGUAGCACAGGAAUAAGUCUCGGCUAACUACGUGCCAGCAGCCGCGGUAAAACGUAGGAGACAAACGUUAUCCGGAGUUACUGGGCGUAAAGGGCGUGUAGGUGGUUACGUAAGUCUGGCGUGAAAUAUCUCGGGCUUAACCGAGGCAGGUCGUCGGAUACUGCGGGACUAGAGGACGGUAGAGGCGUGUGGAAUUCCGGGUGUAGUGGUGAAAUGCGUAGAGAUCCGGAGGAACACCAGUGGCGAAGGCGACACGCUGGGCCGUACCUGACACUGAGGCGCGAUAGCAUGGGGAGCAAACAGGAUUAGAAACCCUGGUAGUCCAUGCCGUAAACGAUGCUAGCUGGGUGUUCAGGCGGGGAAACCCGUCGGGGUACCGAAGUCAAC